rnacentral:rRNA from 1 species
ACUGCUCAGUAACACGUGGACAACCUGCCCUUAGGUUGGGUAUAAACCCGGGAAACUGGGUAUAAUACCCGAUAGGUCUCGAUUGCUGGAAUGCAUCGAGAUUUAAAGCUCCGGCGCCUAAGGAUGGGUCUGCGGCCUAUCAGGUAGUAGUGGGUGUAGCGUGCCUACUAGCCUACGACGGGUACGGGUUGUGAGAGCAAGAGCCCGGAGAUGGAUUCUGAGACACGAAUCCAGGCCCUACGGGGUGCAGCAGGCGCGAAAACUUUACAAUGCUGGCAACAGCGAUAAGGGAACCUCGAGUGCCAGGUUACAAAUCUGGCUGUCGAGAUGCCUAAAAAGCAUUUCAUAGCAAGGGCCGGGCAAGACCGGUGCCAGCCGCCGCGGUAACACCGGCGGCUCGAGUGGUAACCGUUAUUAUUGGGUCUAAAGGGUCUGUAGCCGGCCGGAUAAGUCUCUUGAGAAAUCUGGCAGCUUAACUGUCAGGCUUUCAGGAGAUACUGUCUGGCUCGAGGCCGGGAGAGGUGAGAGGUACUUCAGGGGUAGGGGUGAAAUCUUGUAAUCCUUGAAGGACCACCAGUGGCGAAGGCGUCUCACCAGAACGGACCUGACGGCAAGGGACGAAAGCUAGGGGCACGAACCGGAUUAGAUACCCGGGUAGUCCUAGCCGUAAACGAUACUCGCUAGGUGUCGGCCACGGUGCGACCGUUGUCGGUGCCGUAGGGAAGCCGUGAAGCGAGCCACCUGGGAAGUACGGCCGCAAGGCUGAAACUUGAAGGAAUUGGCGGGGGAGCAC